GAUGAACGCUGGCGGCGUGCCUAAUACAUGCAAGUCGAGCGAACAGACGAGGAGCUUGCUCCUCUGACGUUAGCGGCGGACGGGUGAGUAACACGUGGAUAACCUACCUAUAAGACUGGGAUAACUUCGGGGAACCGGAGCUAAUACCGGAUAAUAUAUUGAACCGCAUGGUUCAAUAGUGAAAGACGGUUUUGCUGUCACUUAUAGAUGGAUCCGCGCCGCAUUAGCUAGUUGGUAAGGUAACGGCUUACCAAGGCAACGAUGCGUAGCCGACCUGAGAGGGUGAUCGGCCACACUGGAACUGAGACACGGUCCAGACUCCUACUGGAGGCAGCAGUAGGGAAUCUUCCGCAAUGGGCGAAAGCUUGACGGAGCAACGCCGCGUGAGUGAUGAAGGUCUUCGGAUCGUAAAACUCUGUUAUUAGGGAAGAACAAAUGUGUAAGUAACUAUGCACGUCUUGACGGUACCUAAUCAGAAAGCCACGGCUAACUACGUG
rnacentral:rRNA from 1 species